rnacentral:rRNA from 1 species
AACGCGAAGAACCUUACCUGGGCUUGACAUGUAAUGAACAACAUGUGAAAGCAUGCGACUCUUCGGAGGCGUUACACAGGUGCUGCAUGGCCGUCGUCAGCUCGUGUCGUGAGAUGUUUGGUUAAGUCCAGCAACGAGCGCAACCCCUGUUGCCAGUUACCAGCACGUGAAGGUGGGGACUCUGGCGAGACUGCCCUGAUCAACUGGGAGGAAGGUGGGGACGACGUCAGGUCAGUAUGGCCCUUAUGCCCAGGGCUGCACACGUACUACAAUGCCCAGUACAGAGGGGGCCGAAGCCGCGAGGCGGAGGAAAUCCUAAAAACUGGGCCCAGUUCGGACUGUAGGCUGCAACCCGCCUACACGAAGCCGGAAUCGCUAGUAAUGGCGCAUCAGCUACGGCGCCGUGAAUACGUUCCCGGGUCUUGUACACACGCA